UGGUAGUUUUGGCAGAAGCACUGCAUGUAGGGGAGUCGCAUUCAUAUCCAGAGUGUCUAGUCCAUUAAGAACAAAUGCUGCCCCUUCCAUGAUGGAAAUGGUCUAAUGUGAUCAACUUGGCACCAGUGCUGGGUCUCCAAUGCUGAGGAUAAUGGCCUUGCACAGAAUAGCAACCCAAUGAAUUCGUGUUGAAUUAAUAAAUGGAAAGAGGCCUAUCCAACAGCACUG